AUGGCCGCGAGCUCAGGCGACGAGUCCCGGAGGCCCAAUCCCCUCCCCUCGGGGCUCGUGUCCAAUCUGCAGUCCGUCCUCGCCUCCCGCCGCCCGCCUUCGCCCGAGGACGCCGGCUCCACCGCGGCCGAGGCCGAGGCCCCGACAGCGGAGACGGCGGCCGAUGACGCGCCGGCUAAGCCUGUCGUACUUCUGACCUGCGCCGGCGGGAUCCAGUCGCCGGGUCUCGUGGCGCUCGUCGACGCCCUCGUCAAGGGCGGCCGAUGCGACGUCCACGUGUGCGCCCCUGAAUCGGACAAGCCUGUCUGUGGUCACUCCAUUACCAUCCGGGAGACUGUGUCUGCGACAUCCGUCCAUUUUACAGGGGCGAAGGCUUUUGAGAUAUCAGGGACGCCUGUGGAUUCUAUCUCAUUGGCAUUAUCUGGGAGGCUAUUUUCUUGGUCGGCACCUGCUUUGGUGAUCAGUGGUAUCAAUACUGGGUCAAACUGCGGCUAUGAGAUGUUCCACUCUUCUGCCAUUGCUGCUGCAAGAGAGGCUUUAAUGUGUGGGGUACCUUCAAUUGCAAUCUCAUUGAAUUGGAAGAAGGAUGAAACCAAAGACAAUGACUUCAAGGAUGCAGCUGGGCUGUGUUUGCCACUGAUACAUGCUGCCUUGGCAGAUAUUGAGAAGGGAACUUUCCUCAAAGGGUGCCUGCUGAAUGUUGGGGUUCCAAGCUCGCCAGCUGCAAAUAAGGGUUUCAAGUUGACCAAGCAAAGCAUAUACAGUCCUGCUCAAAGCUGGCAAGCUGUGUCGACAAGUAGGCCUCAACCUGCUGCUCACUUCAUGGGCAUGCAUCAAAGCCUCGGUAUUCAGCUCGCACAGCUUGGGAAGGAUGCUUCUGCAGCAGGAGCUGCACGCAGAGGUAAUACUCAGCGGAAGACAGUUGAGGUCGAGUCUGUUGCAGCUGCAGGGAAGCAACAAGCUAGAGAAGUAGUGAAGAAAUCUUUCCGUGCCGAGUUCCUCGAGAAGCUGCACAAAGAUUUGGAUGACGAUAUCGAUGUGAGAGCCUUGGAAAAUGGAUUUAUAUCUGUCACUCCUCUGAAUGUGCACGGCCAUGUCGAGUCUGAACUCGAAGCUCCAGCGUCAGACUGGCUGUCAGCAGCUGUGUCUGUAUCCGAAGAAAAGGAAGCUCCAGCGACCUAA
rnacentral:rRNA from 1 species